GACGAACGCUGGCGGCGUGCUUAACACAUGCAAGUCGAACGCUGAAGCCCUUUCGGGGGUGGAUGAGUGGCGAACGGGUGAGUAACACGUGGGUAAUCUGCCCUGCACUCUGGGAUAAGCCUUGGAAACGGGGUCUAAUACCGGAUAGGACACAUCGCCGCAUGGUGUGUGUGUGGAAAGUUCCGGCGGUGCAGGUUGAGCCCGCGGCCUAUCAGCUUGUUGGUGGGGUGAUGGCCUACCAAGGCGACGACGGGUAGCCGGCCUGAGAGGGUGACCGGCCCCACUGGGACGGAGACACGGCCCAGACUCCUACGGGAGGCAGCAGUGGGGAAUCUUGCGCAAUGGGCGAAAGCCUGACGCAGCAACGCCGCGUGGGGGAUGACGGCCUUCGGGUUGUAAACCUCUUUCGACCGGGACGAAGGGUGACUGACGGUACCGGUAGAAGAAGCACCGGCUAACUACGUGCCAGCCGCCGCGGUAA
rnacentral:rRNA from 1 species